rnacentral:rRNA from 1 species
CCUACGGGAGGCUGCAGUGAGGAAUAUUGGUCAAUGGACGAGAGUCUGAACCAGCCAAGUAGCGUGAAGGAUGACUGCCCUAUGGGUUGUAAACUUCUUUUAUAUGGGAAUAAAAUGUUCCACGUGUGGGAUGUUGUAUGUACCAUAUGAAUAAGGAUCGGCUAACUCCGUGCCAGCAGCCGCGGUAAUACGGAGGAUCCGAGCGUUAUCCGGAUUUAUUGGGUUUAAAGGGAGCGUAGGUGGAUUGGUAAGUCAGUUGUGAAAGUUUGCGGCUCAACCGUAAAAUUGCAGUUGAAACUGGCAGUCUUGAGUACAGUAGAGGUGGGCGGAAUUCGUGGUGUAGCGGUGAAAUGCUUAGAUAUCACGAAGAACUCCGAUUGCGAAGGCAGCUCACUGGACUGCAACUGACACUGAGGCUCGAAAGUGUGGGUAUCAAACAGGAUUAGAUACCCUUGUAGUC